UGAUAUCACAUAAUAGGUAUCCAGCUCUGUCUAUGGUAUUUUAAUUACCUGAUCCAAAUUUCAGAGGGAAGGAGAUGGAGCGGGAGACCUCUAAUUUUGCAACUGAAGUGUUCUGCCUGCAGUCAACUGUGUUCCCAAUUGGUGGGUGCCAUCAGUGGCAGAUGCAAGUGAAAGGAUCCUUGGAAUGAUGCUGGGCAUUGUGCUGUUGAUGACACCUGGCUUUUGAGGAGUUGGAAGAUGUAGUGGGAGCUGAGCGGCAACUAGUCUAGGGGCUGAGUUUGCUGAUGUUUCUGUGCCACUGAAGACCAAGUGAGAUUUCACUAUGGAGCAAUUUCAGAUGAGGAUGUGAUCAAUUUCUGUCAUAGCACAUCGCUGGUUUGAAAUCCAGCUCCAGCUAUGGUUAUUGAGGUGCCUAAAGCAGGAGCCCAUGACAAUGUCUGGCACACAGUGUCAGAAGCUAAGUGGUUGUGGUGUUUGGGGAAUUUGAACCAAAGGGGACAUAUUGUAAUAGUAAGCUUUUAUGUUUUAUAUUGUGUAUGAUUUAGAAUGAGGGAUGAAGAAUAAUGAGAUAAUUUAGCAUGUAUUAAAUGUAUUGGUGUAUGGUUUGAUCAUCUCCUGUCAGCCACCCUUUUUGAAUAGCAAAAAGGAAUGGCCUAAUGGGCCAUUUGGUAAAGAUGCAUCAGCCAGAAUCUGUAUCUGGGCUAAUUUCAAGAAAAUAACAGAUGUUUUAAGGUCACUACUUUGCUAUAGGUUUAGCAUUUUAAAAUAAGUAAAAGAAUGCCAUGAUUGUUUUCUUGUGCAUUGCAACUUGAUGUUCCUGUUUAAAAUGUUCUGUGUAAAUUAAUUCUGUUUUGUGUGUGAAUGAGGAAUGUGUGUGUAAAGAGAUAAGUGUGAAGGUCAUCGCUGAGCCAGAUGUAUGAGGGAGGAACCAGAGACAGAGGCAAGGGCGCCAGGAGGCUGCAACACGCGCAUGUUGAAAUGUCAGAGGAGGGCAGAUUGAUUACUUUAAAGAUGAGACAGGCACCUAUCAAUAGGGACAUGAUAGCUGUGAUAAAGAAUGAGAAGGACAAUUUAAGAAAACAAGCACUUGUCAAACAACAAUUGAUUACAGCAUGAUGGAGCAAAACUCAUUGGUCCCAAUGAAGGAAAAUCACUAUCUAAAUAGGGUGCCUUGCCAUGAAAUUUUGAGUUCAUCCUGCCAAGACUUCCCCGGAUCAUUGUAUCAUGACCGAAGGAACCCGGCUCCUCCCUACCCAUGAUCAACCUAGCUGGCCACUAGAUUGAUCUGGACUCUGGA